GAAUGUCAAUGUCUUCAUCCUCCGUCUGUAUCACUACCGGUAUCAUCUUUUGCGCUCUGUUCUGUAGAAGCAAUAGUGUAAAUUGAAUUAUUCCCGAACUCAUGAAGCAAUACAUUCAGGAGCUUAAACACAGUAACAGGCAUAGUAUUACAACAUCACCACCUACAAUAUAGGAAAAUGCAAGAACUAAUUGCAGAAUAGUUUAAAUGAAUAUGAAGUGGCAAUCAUCAAGAAUUCAACAUUCAUUACACCCACCAUAACAAAGGUUUGAAAAAAAAAAUAGUGAGUCUUAAUCGUGCCCUUAAACAUUACGAAAAGGAAAUGACAUUGCACCUACACAAUGGUGUUGUAGUUGGCAAUUUUAAGGUCGAUAUAAUGGAGGUUGGAUAUGUUGAAUAUAUGAAGUGCACUAAAAAGUGAUGAGAGUUGUUCUAUUCAUACUAAUGUACACGUGUAGGCACCAGACAAGUUUGCGGCUGCAGCUGGUAGGAACCCAGUCCGUAGUUUGUUACAAAUUUUAUAAUGAAAAUUUAUUUUACUAAAAAUAAGUAACAUAAAUGAUAGAAACAGUAUUUGUGAAUAAGUAUGAAAAUUCAUUCACAUAGAAUGAGUGAAUUCCAUCACAUGUCACUCACUGUUGCAGCUGAUGAUCCAAGUCGGGGCAGUGUACACUUUGAUUGCAAUUCUUGGGUUUCUCCUGCUGACAAUUAUGAUUAUCACCGCAUUUUAUUUGUGAAUCAGUUACAGAGAGGAUGAGUUGCUUCAUUUGAGAGGAACUGGAACUGUAACGCUUGAGGAAUGGGACAGGGUUUAUGACUAUGAUGAUGAGUUUAAUAACUUUCAAGAUGUUCUUCAAUGUUAAAUUAAAUAUCAAAUUAGCAGUUCUUCACCUA